rnacentral:rRNA from 1 species
AUACGGAAGAUGCGAGCGUUAUCCGGAUUUAUUGGGUUUAAAGGGAGCGUAGGCGGAUUGUUAAGUCAGCGGUCAAAUGUCGGUGCCCAACAUCGUCCUUCCGUUGAAACUGGCAGUCUUGAAUGCACACAGGGAAGGUGGAAUUCGUCGUGUAGCGGUGAAAUGCUUAGAUAUGACGAGGAACUCCGAUCGCGAAGGCAUCCUUCUGGAGUGCGAUUGACGCUGAGGCUCGAAAGCGCGGGUAUCAAACAGGAUUAGAUGCCCUGGUAGUCCGCGCCGUAAACGAUGGAUGCUCGUCAUUGGUGCGUUAGCUUCAGUGACCAAGCGAAAGCAUUAAGCAUCCCACCUGGGGAGUACGCCGGCAACGGUGAAACUCAAAUGAAUUGACGGGG